AUUGAACGCUGGCGGCAGGCCUAACACAUGCAAGUCGAGCGGAUGAAGGGAGCUUGCUCCUGGAUUCAGCGGCGGACGGGUGAGUAAUGCCUAGGAAUCUGCCUGGUAGUGGGGGAUAACGUCCGGAAACGGGCGCUAAUACCGCAUACGUCCUGAGGGAGAAAGUGGGGGAUCUUCGGACCUCACGCUAUCAGAUGAGCCUAGGUCGGAUUAGCUAGUUGGUGGGGUAAAGGCCUACCAAGGCGACGAUCCGUAACUGGUCUGAGAGGAUGAUCAGUCACACUGGAACUGAGACACGGUCCAGACUCCUACGGGAGGCAGCAGUGGGGGAUAUUGGACAAUGGGCGAAAGCCUGAUCCAGCCAUGCCGCGUGUGUGAAGAAGGUCUUCGGAUUGUAAAGCACUUUAAGUUGGGAGGAAGGGCAGUAAGUUAAUACCUUGCUGUUUUGACGUUACCAACAGAAUAAGCACCGGCUAACUUCGUG
rnacentral:rRNA from 1 species